UACGGAGGGAGCUAGCGUUGUUCGGAUAUACUGGGCGUAAAGCGCACGUAGGCGGCGCCGUAAGUCAGGGGUGAAAUCCCGGAGCUCAACUCCGGAAUUGCCUUUAAGACUGCAUCGCUAGAAUUGUGGAGAGGUAAGUGGAAUUCCGAGUGUAGAGGUGAAAUUCGUAGAUAUUCGGAAGAACACCAGUGGCGAAGGCGACUUACUGGACACAUAUUGACGCUGAGGUGCGAAAGCGUGGGGAGCAAACAGG
rnacentral:rRNA from 1 species